ACUAUAAAGUUGUUAACCGCGCCCUGAGUAGUAUCAGUUUAAACUUUAAACUCAAAGAAUUUGGCGGCACUCUCCCCCACUAGAGGAGCCUGCCCCAUAAAUGAUGACCCACGCUUUAAUAAUCCUGGUAUAAUAGCUUGUAUACCGCCGUUAAGGGCGUAUUUUAAAAUACGCUCGAGCUAUAAUUAAAUAAUAAAUCAGGUCAAGGUGCAGCCCAUGAACAGGAGGAGGUGGGCUACAAUAAAAGAAAUUACACUGAAGUUAUUUAUAAAAGUUAACCGAAGGUGGAUUUACUAGUAACACCCAUAUUAAUGAGUUUGGAGGGGU
rnacentral:rRNA from 1 species